rnacentral:rRNA from 1 species
AGAGAUGUGUGAUGACGCAUAUCAAUAAGCGGAGGAAAAGAAACUAACUAGGAUUCCCUUAGUAACGGCGAGUGAAGCGGGAAGAGCUCAUAUUUGAAAUCUUCAAGGUUCUACCUUGACGAAUUGUAGUUUAAUAGAAGUGUUUUCUGUUAGUGGAGUGGCAAAAGUUCUUUGGAAUAGGACAUCAUAGAGGGUGAGAAUCCCGUAUUUGGUCAUUCCUCCUAGCGUUGUGAUACACUUUCAACGAGUCGGAUUGUUUGGGAAUGCAGUCCAAAAUGGGUGGUAAAUUUCAUCUAAAGCUAAAUAUUGGCGAGAGACCGAUAGCGAACAAGUACCGUGAGGGAAAGAUGAAAAGAACUUUAAAAAGAGAGUUAAACAGUACGUGAAAUUGUCAAAAGGGAAGCGUUUGACACCAGUGUUGUUUUUCCGAAAAUCAAUUACGAAUGUUUUAUUUUUGAGAAGUUAUGACUUCAUCGGCUUGCUUCUUUCUUUACGAAACUUUCUUAAUGCACUUUUCGGUUAACAAGUCAACAUCAAUUUCUUUUGUUGUAAAAGGGUACGAGGAAGGUGGCUUUCUUUUCGGAGAAAGUGUUUAUAGCCUUGUACCUCUGCAAUCGGAGAGAUUGAGGUCUGCAGCGUAGAUCCUUCGGGGUUAGAUACAUUUGUGCUAAGUUAUAGCUUUUCAUAGACAACUUGUUGACUAUGUUAAGUCUUGUAGCUUACUCGCUUAUGCUAUUUUACCUACGCUUAGGAUGUUGAAGAUGUAGCACAUCAA